rnacentral:rRNA from 1 species
AGUUUGAUUAUGGCUCAGGAUGAACGCUGGCGGCGUGCCUAACACAUGCAAGUCGAACGGACUUACACAGAAGCAGGAGAUGCUUGCAUUGACUAACGGAAGUGUAAGUUAGUGGCGGACGGGUGAGUAACGCGUGGGCAACCUGCCCCAUACCGGGGGAUAACACCUGGAAACAGGUGCUAAAACCGCAUAAGCGCACAGCUUCGCAUGAAGGUGUGUGAAAAACUCCGGUGGUAUGGGAUGGGCCCGCGUCUGAUUAGCUGGUUGGCGGGGUAACGGCCCACCAAGGCAACGAUCAGUAGCCGGCCUGAGAGGGUGGACGGCCACAUUGGGACUGAGACACGGCCCAAACUCCUACGGGAGGCACCACUGGGGAAUAUUGGACAAUGGGGGAAACCCUGAUCCAGCGACGCCGCGUGAGUGAAGAAGUAUUUCGGUACGUAAAGCUCUAUCAGCAGGAAAGAAAAUGACGGUACCUGACUAAGAAGCCCCGGCUAACUACGUGCCAGCAGCCGCGGUAAUACGUAAGGGGCAAGCGUUAUCCGGAUUUACUGGGUGUAAAGGGAGCGUAGACAGCAGCGCAAGUCUGGAGUGAAAUGCCGGGGCCCAACC